rnacentral:snoRNA from 1 species
AAGACUAUACUUUCAGGGAUCAUUUCUAUAGUAUGUUACCAUUUUAAUUUCUUAUCCAUCUUCCAUGCAAACAAUUUAAUGAUAUCUGGGCAUAGAUGUAGGGGACCAGG